ACAUUUAAAACACAAUUGAAAAUUAUCAAAAGAAAAUAUAUUUAAAAUUUUUCCUUUUGGAUUUUAAAUUUGCAGAAUCUCUAAUCACAUCUUUUAUUUCCAUAUUUUUGGCUACUGCUCCUACUGCCGCACUGCUCUGAUUCAAUGAAUGUUUCACUCUUUUUGUGGUGCAUUUAAUUUUUAUUAUAUUAUGUUGUUAAUUUAAGAAAGGGUAAAGAAAAUAUAGACAGAGGAUUUGGGCUCCCCUGCAUUUUGAGGUCAAGUGCAUUGUAAUUCCACCAUUGGAAUAAAUACUGUUUGUAUCUAUGACAAAUAAUAAAAAUAUCUUGUCUCUGCUAACAACUUUAUAUGAUUAAAGAUAUAAAAAUGUGGAAUUCUGAUAGAGUCUUAUAUUUAGAAAUUCAAUUGCCAAGUAAAACAGUCGGGGAAUACAAUUUAUCAGUAUUUUCUGACAUCAGAGUUGUAAAGUGUGAACUUGAAAAGUUAUUGUCAAAAUUGUUUAAAAAGAGAAUGUGGGUAAAUAUAGCCAGAGUAAUGUUGGAAGAUGGCAAGAGUAAUGACAAACAUUUUAACCUGAAAUAAUUUAACAUUUAAUGAUAAAGAAUAUAAUUCUAUUACAAGAUUACAUUGGUAUCUAAUUUAUAUAUAAUCAAAGCAUUAAUGAUUUUUAACAAGCCAACAAAACAAAUAAUAAUAAAUUCAAUUUAAAUUUAGCUUUCAAACAGCAUUUUCAUUUGUGAUCCAAAAUAUGAGGAGAAUUCUGGAUAUCUUUGAGAAAGAGUCCUGGAUUUCUCUCUUAAUUCUAACACUGAAUUAUUCCUAAACAGGAUAAGAGCAAAUACUAAUAGGAAAUAAUAUUUUAUAUAGUAGACUACAUAAAAACAUUAAGAUGAUUUUUAAUGACAAUCAUUAACAAAAGCCCUUAAGACAAAAACUAUUUUGAGAUUUCAUCUAAUAAACUUGUUUUCAUUGAGACUUCAUCCUUUUGGUUUCUGCUUUCCCUUACUUAUUUCAUCUAUCAUUCAUGUUAUAUUGAGGAAGAAUUUCAAAUUGCCUUUCAGCCUUCAUUUGGUAAAAUGUUUUCUUUGUAUUAGAAUUGGAGGUAGAAAUUGUCAGAAAUAAAUUUUAUACUUGUUUUAGUAAGGCCAAUUUGAUCUGUCAUAUAAUUUGUCAGUUAUAUGAUUAUUAUUUCUUCUCUAUGGUAUUGUUUAUCACCAAAUUAUAGAAUUCUGUUCUCAUACCUGUACAAAAAGAGCAUUCAAAAACUAUAAAGGGAGUUCCCAACUUCAAUGAUCCAUACUUAUGGUGAUUAUUUAUUACAAAAAUCUGCAUUUCAUGAUAGCUGCCAUCAAUAAUUUUGUAAUAAUGAUGGUUAGCCAAACAGAGGGCUAAGUAGUUGCUAAGAUGGAAAUGUAUUAUGCAUCCACCAUGACAUUUUCACCAUCACCAUUAUGACAUAACAUAUGUAAUUGCUAUGUGAUAUCAUUAUUAUGAUCAUGUGAUGUCAUUGUGAUCAACCAUCUGAUUCCAAAUGCUAUAAUAAAUGAAUUAUAUGCAAA
rnacentral:lncRNA from 1 species